rnacentral:rRNA from 1 species
AAAGCGCACGCAGGCGGUUUGUUAAGUCAGAUGUGAAAUCCCCGAGCUUAACUUGGGAACUGCAUUUGAAACUGGCAAGCUAGAGUCUUGUAGAGGGGGGUAGAAUUCCAGGUGUAGCGGUGAAAUGCGUAGAGAUCUGGAGGAAUACCGGUGGCGAAGGCGGCCCCCUGGACAAAGACUGACGCUCAGGUGCGAAAGCGUGGGGAGCAAACAGGAUUAGAUACCCCGGU